rnacentral:lncRNA from 1 species
GGACUUUCAGGAUCUGAGCUUUUUAAAGAAUGUCAGUUUGGGCUGCAAUGAGGUGAGUUCUUGAGCUUAUAGAUUCAGUGAAUGAAGCUUUUCGUUUCACAAAAAAAAGUGAAUGAAGCUUUUCACUUGCAGGUAAAUACUGUCAAACUUUGUUUCUUUAUUUCCAAUCACAGCAAACUGCUUGAUCGCGUUCUAGUGUUUCUUUCACUGAUUAGAUGCCCUCUUAACAGU